UGUUGCCUCAUCUCGAUGGAUUAGUGGAAAGCAUUAUGCUCUUCACAAUGACCGUCAAUACCCUAGGUGAGAGGCAGGGCUGGCCUCAGCAAUUCUUCCGGGUGACAGCCUCUAAGCAGAAGCUUGAGGGGACAGUGCCAUGGCAAGGCUGCAGGCCCCCAGCAGGAAGUGGCUGGCUCAGGAGGUGGUGUCUCAGGUACUGCAGGAGUCAUCCGUCUUCUCUUCUGCACUGGGGAGUCAUUCUCUGACCUUGGGUUUACCUUUCAGAACGCUCCCAGCUCUGGACACAGGGCUUGGUGGGGACCUCCUUCGGAAGUGUCACCCUGAGGCAGAGCCAAAUGCCGCAGCAACCGCCUCUCCUCCACCCUCUUCCUCCUUCAAUGCAAGAUUGCAAUGAGAUUGGCCCAUAGGGCGGUUCAAAGAAGCAAAAAGUUAUGAUUAGGAAAUACCGGUAUUAAAUAAUUUCCCUUGGUUUCAUUUCCUCUUAUGACUGAAUCCCAGCAGGGCCUCCCAAUUCUUUUCCUUCAAUUGGCUGUUUUAUGUCCAAUUCCAGGACGGGCUGGGUCCCGACUGUAAGCAUCCCCCAACCCUCCCAAUCCCUCCUUUGAGUCCUGACCAUUUAGCCCAAGACAAUUUUAAAAUCGCAGAAGCUUAAGGCUGGAAAGCAUUUUGACAGGUCCCCCAGGCUAACGUUAUAUGCGUUUUCUCCUGUUUUGCCUGAAUUGAGCCAGAGGAGGGCUGAGCGCCUCAUGUUCCCCUGAAGCAUGCGGGCUUUGGAGGUGGCCAGGCUGGGCUGGCUCCUUCAGGGACAGCCCUGAGGCUCCCUCCCUGCAGCUGCUCACGCUGCAGCUGGCCUGCUGCCUGGACUUUCAGGGAACACCUACAGUGGGCCAGGCAUUGUAUGAAGGUAACUAGAACUAGGCUCCUGAAAACUUUAGUGGAAAUAGCAGCGCUUUGCAUUAAGUAAGAUGUGGGCUACCUUACCCUCCAGAAGGGAGAGCAUGUCCCAGUCCACAUGUAUUUCAACCAGUAUCUUUUUAAAGAAGAAUGGUACAACUAGAAUACUCAGGGUGUGGCCUGGCUGGUGCCCAGGGUGACGGGGCCAUGCCUCC
rnacentral:lncRNA from 1 species